UGUGUUAUCAUUCAAAUUCUGCCUGUGAUGAUAAGCAGAUCACUGCAGUAAAGUAAUUUGUACAGACCAAAAAGAGACACCUAUUAGGUUUAGUGGCCACUGAGAAAACUGCAGGAUAUUACGGUAUAUACAUUUUUUAGCAAUUU